CAAGGAAUUUUCCCCAAUGGGCGCAAGCCUGAGGGAGCAACGCCGCGUGCAGGACGACGGCCUUAGGGUUGUAAAGCUCUUUUACCAGGGAUGAUAAUGACAGUACCUGGAGAAUAAGCUCCGGCUAACUCCGUGCCAGCAGCCGCGGUAAUACGGAGGGAGCUAGCGUUGUUCGGAAUUACUGGGCGUAAAGCGCGCGUAGGCGGCUAUCCAAGUCAGGGGUGAAAUCCCGGGGCUCAACCCCGGAACUGCCCUUGAAACUAGGUAGCUAGAAUACUGGAGAGGUGAGUGGAAUUCCGAGUGUAGAGGUGAAAUUCGUAGAUAUUCGGAAGAACACCAGUGGCGAAGGCGACUCACUGGACAGUUAUUGACGCUGAGGUGCGAAAGCGUGGGGAGCAAACAGGAUUAGAUACCCCCGUAGUCC
rnacentral:rRNA from 1 species